GAUGAAGAACGCAGCGAAAUGCGAUAAGUAAUGUGAAUUGCAGAUUUCAGUGAAUCAUCGAAUCUUUGAACGCACAUUGCGCCCCCUGGUAUUCCGGGGGGCAUGCCUGUCCGAGCGUCAUUACAACCCUCAAGCUCAGCUUGGUAUUGGGCCCCGCCGCUCCGGCGGGCCCUAAAGUCAGUGGCGGUGCCGUCCGGCUCCGAGCGUAGUAAUUCUUCUCGCUCUGGAGGUCCGGUCGUGUGCUCGCCAGCAACCCCCAAUUUUUUUCAGGUUGACCUCGGAUCAGGUAGGGAUACCCGCUGAACUUAAGCAUAUCAAUAAGCGGAGGA
rnacentral:misc_RNA from 1 species